CGUUUUCUUAGAGUGUAUUUGUAGGGAAAAAGAAUACGUAUACGCACGUACAGUUGUUAGGGGUCGGAUUGGGCCUACUUGGCCCAAUGCCCAAACCCAAGUCAAAAACCCAAAAUAAGUUCCAAACCAAGGAGUAUUAAGGCGAAGGGUAGUUUCGUCAAAUCCCUCGAUGAAUGCCCUACACGCAUAGUGCUAUAAAUACCGAAUAGCAUGUCCUGUCACGAGGGGGGAUUCCGCCAGGACACUUAGAGACAAAGAAUAGCCCGUCUCAAGUAGCUCGUCAGCUCACCCUUCUCAAGUAGCUCGUCCGUCUAAAGUAGCUUGUCAGCUCGCCCUUCUCAAGAAGCUCGUUAGCUCGCUCCUCAUCGCCAAGCUCUUCAGCUCGCCUUUAAGCUCUUCAAGCUCCUCGGCUCGUCCUCAAGCUCGUCCUCAAGCUCCUCAGCUCGUCUUCAAGCUCUUCCCAUCACUCAGCGACCAUCUCCUCGCCUAGCUGUCAGCUAGUCAGCUCGUCCAACUCGUCUAGCUAUCAGCUCAUCCCUCGACUGCAAAACUCAUCUACCUCCUCGCCUAGCGGCAGUUCGUCCAUUGACUGCAUAGUCCACCUAUCUCGUCCCCCAGCUCGUCUACACCUUCAGCAAACAACUCGGUUUGUCCAACUCGUCUCUCUUCCACGGUUCAUCCAGCUCGUCGCACAUUUGCCGGCUCGUCAACUACCUGCCGACCUACCUCCAAUGACGGCCUAGCUCACUUAUUCUAAUAUGAACUACGUGUGGCUUGAUCCCUUUCUAAGGGUACGUAGGCAACCUUUUACAAGGUUCAGCUAUAAAACGAAUAAACUCUAUUCUUCCUCGGACAUCAAGUUCGUCUUCCGGCCUCAAGCUCACCUUUCAUCUACAAUCAGCUCGUUCUUACUCCAUCUAUGCUCGUUGAAGAAAUCAUCCUUUGUAAUCCGUCCAAUUCGCCUAAGUCGCAGGCUCGUCUUUAAUAGAAAGAUUCUUCUUCCUUCCCUAGAGGUCCCAUUUUCGUACUUGUGUGAUUCGUGCAUCAACAACAGUGACUGUGAUAUUAAUUACACCAACUUCCUUUUAUCUUGUUUUAGUCUUUAAAAAUAUUGAUCCUUAUUCCUUCGUAAAUGCAUGUGAUGCUUUUGGCAUUAAAUCGUGACUAACAAUAUGACCAAUGAUCGGAACCAAUGAUCGGAACCAAAGCUAGAGGUUCAGCUUCCAAAGUUGUCAGUUUAAGUAAAUGCAUGUGAUGUUUUUCUUUGUCAAAUUGGUUGUAAGUUGUAGAUUGUAACAU
rnacentral:sRNA from 1 species